GAGGAAUAUUGGGCAAUGCCCGCAAGGGUGACCCAGCAACGCCGCGCGGAGGAUGAAUGUCGUAAGAUUGUAAACUCCUGUUAGAGGGGAAGAAUAGUACCGGUUGGACCGGUAUAUGACUGUACCCUCAGAGAAAGCCCCGGCUAACUACGUGCCAGCAGCCGCGGUAAUACGAAGGGGGCUAGCGUUGCUCGGAAUUACUGGGCGUAAAGGGCGCGUAGGCGGACAGUUUAGUCAGAGGUGAAAGCCCAGGGCUCAACCUUGGAAUUGCCUUGGAUACUGGCUGUCUUGAGUGCGGGAGAGGUGUGUGGAACUCCGAGUGUAGAGGUGAAAUUCGUAGAUAUUCGGAAGAACACCAGUGGCGAAGGCGACACACUGGCCCGUUACUGACGCUGAGGCGCGAAAGCGUGGGGAGCAAUCA
rnacentral:rRNA from 1 species